GAUGAACGCUGGCGGCGUGCUUAACACAUGCAAGUCGAACGAUGAAGCCCAGCUUGCUGGGUGGAUUAGUGGCGAACGGGUGAGUAACACGUGAGUAACCUGCCCUUGACUCUGGGAUAAGCCUGGGAAACUGGGUCUAAUACUGGAUAUGACUUCUCAUCGCAUGGUGGGGGGUGGAAAGAUUUAUUGGUCUUGGAUGGACUCGCGGCCUAUCAGCUUGUUGGUGAGGUAAUGGCUCACCAAGGCGACGACGGGUAGCCGGCCUGAGAGGGUGACCGGCCACACUGGGACUGAGACACGGCCCAGACUCCUACGGGAGGCAGCAGUGGGGAAUAUUGCACAAUGGGCUCAAGCCUGAUGCAGCGACGCUGCGUGAGGGAUGACGGCCUUCGGGUUGUAAACCUCUUUCAGUAGGGAAGAAGCGAGAGUGACGGUACCUGCAGAAGAAGCGCCGGCUAACUACGUG
rnacentral:rRNA from 1 species